GCGUCGGUAGUGCAACGGUUCAGCACGAGCCUUUUGACAGAGUGAAAUAUGGGUUCGACUCCCGUGUGACGCA